AGGAGGCAGCAGUGAGGAAUCUUCCACAAUGGGGGCAACCCUGAUGGAGCGACGCCGCGUGGACGAAGAAGCUUCUCGGAGUGUAAAGUCCUUUUCCCGCAGAUGAGAGGGACAGUAUGCGGGGAAUAAGCCACGGCUAACUACGUGCCAGCAGCCGCGGUAAUACGUAGGUGGCGAGCGUUGUCCGGAAUUACUGGGUGUAAAGCGCGUGUAGGCGGGAGGCCAAGUCUGUGGUGAAAUCGCUCGGCUUAACUGGGCGGGGUCCAUGGAAACUGGUCACCUGGAGGUCGGUAGAGGCAAGUGGAAUUCCCGGUGUAGUGGUGAAAUGCGUAGAGAUCGGGAGGAACACCAGUGGCGAAGGCGGCUUGCUGGGCCGGACCUGACGCUGAGACGCGAAGGCGUGGGGAGCGAACGGGAUUAGAAACCCGAGUAGUCC
rnacentral:rRNA from 1 species